UACCGGGCAAAUGCCCGGUGGGCCGACGCGCUUGGGGGCGGGGCCGCGAUAUGAUAUGAUUUUUUUUUUUUUUUAAUAAACAUAAAAUUGGCCAACGAUCGGCCCAUAAAGCAGGGACAGCGGCCCAUUGGUUCAUUUUCCAUAUUGACACUGGGCUGGCCCAAUCACAUCUCUUAACAGACUCCACCCCGUCCCCUCUGUUUCGUGUGUCAGGUCAGAUCAGAUGCAGUGGCUCAGAGCCAAAACAUCUGUGGAUUAGGAGGAUGGAGAAACAAAAGCGCAAGUGCAAGGGGGUGCGGAGAAGUUGCGGGCAAAUUUUUUUUUUUUUUUAAAUGUAGAGGUCGAUGCCUCAAACGUGCAAAAAUUACUGACAUGUUUAGUGCGGUUACUGUAGCUUCAGUUUCCAAACCUACAGUACCUGACGACGUGCAAAAACAGGUGAACAUAGAAGAACAUGGAGACACCUGUCAGGCAGAGGAGCAGCAGGUGUCUGACAGUGAAGUCAGUGAGGGACAGAGUAAGCAGGAGAGUAUAAUAGAAGCGGAUGCCCUCAUUAUUGUGGUUCAUUGUUCAUAGUUUUUGAGGGUGUUCAGAGGGCCAUGCAAGCCCUACUCCACUGCCACCUUUGAUCACCAGAGAGUCAGUCAAGAGAGAGUGAGUACACUGGUCCACUUGCACUUACUACUCAGCUUUGUAGGGGCUUUCGGGAAUGAAACAGUAGGUAUGCAUAUUUACAGGGACCGCAAGGAAGGUGUACUCGUGGGUGGCGUCCGACCGAUUGUGGUGGGCCGGUCUGAGCAAAAAUGCCAGGGCCAUUUUUUUGUCCCAGUCCAGCCCUGGGCUGGACCACCUCUUCCGGGCCGACGACAGAUAUUAUCCAGGCGUCGACAGGGUCCAGCGAGCGUCGAGAAAUAACGAGGCUAGGCACGACUCCAAACUCAGUCCAAAAAGGCGUAGAACAACAUGCAAGCUUCAACCUCACCAACCGGCCGCUGCCUUUUCCCCGGCGGCGGGUGCGCUUUCGUCGGCGGACACGCCUAAAAGAUGGAGCCGGGGCGCGCCAAAGGUGAGGCGGGAGCCUCGCCAGGAGCGGGGGCAAAG